rnacentral:rRNA from 1 species
UGAGGAAUAUUGGUCAAUGGGUGCAAGCCUGAACCAGCCAUCCCGCGUGAAGGACGACUGCCCUAUGGGUUGUAAACUUCUUUUGUAUAGGGAUAAACCUACCCUCGUGAGGGUAGCUGAAGGUACUAUACGAAUAAGCACCGGCUAACUCCGUGCCAGCAGCCGCGGUAAUACGGAGGGUGCAAGCGUUAUCCGGAUUUAUUGGGUUUAAAGGGUCCGUAGGCGGACUUAUAAGUCAGUGGUGAAAGCCUGCCGCUUAACGAUAGAACUGCCAUUGAUACUGUAAGUCUUGAGUAUAUUUGAGGUAGCUGGAAUAAGUAGUGUAGCGGUGAAAUGCAUAGAUAUUACUUAGAACACCAAUUGCGAAGGCAGGUUACCAAGAUAUAACUGACGCUGAGGGACGAAAGCGUGGGGAGCGAAC